rnacentral:rRNA from 1 species
CCCUUAGAUGUUCUGGGCUGCACGCGCGCUACACUGAUGCGCUCAACGAGUUUACGACCUUGCCCGGAAGGGUUGGGUAAUCUUUUUAAAACGCAUCGUGAUGGGGAUAGAUUAUUGCAAUUAUUAAUCUUUAACGAGGAAUUCCUUGUAAGCGCGGGUCAUCAUCCCGCGCUGAAUACGUCCCUGCCCUUUGUACACACCGCCCGUCGCUCCUACCGAUUGAGUGGUCCGGUGAGGCUUUGGGAUCUGAGCGGAAAGAGCGUUUCGCUGUUUCUGCUCGGAAAACUCAGUCGAACCUUAUCAUUUAGAGGAAGGAGAAGUCGUAACA